rnacentral:rRNA from 1 species
AGAUAUGAUCCAGAGUACCACGGGACACGUGAAACCCUGUGGGAAGCAGGAGGGACCACCCUCCAAGGCUAAAUACUACCUAGUGACCGAUAGCGUAUAGUACCGUGAGGGAAAGGUGAAAAGAACCCCGGGAGGGGAGUGAAAUAGAACCUGAAACCCUGCACUUACAAGCUGUGGAAGCACAUUUCUUGUGUGACCGCGUACUUUUUGUAGAACGGGCCAACGAGUUACGUUAAGUAGCAAGGUUAAGCACUUAAGGUGCGGAGCCGUAGCGAAAGCGAGUUUUAACUGAGCGUUCAGUUACUUGACGUAGACCCGAAACCGGGCGACCUACCCAUGAGCAGGAUGAAGCGAAAGUAAAAUUUCGUGGAGGUCCGAACCCACGAGCGUUGAAAAGCUCGGGGAUGACUUGUGGGUAGCGGUGAAAUUCCAAUCGAGCCCGGAGAUAGCUGGUUCUCCCCGAAAUAGCUUUAGGGCUAGCCUCAAGGUGAGAGAUACGGAGGUAGAGCACUGAAUGUCCUAGGGGGUAUUGCACCUACCGAAGACUAUCAAACUCCGAAUGCCGUCAUCUUAUACUUGGGAGUCAGACUGUGGGUGAUAAGAUUCAUAGUCGAAAGGGCAACAGCCCAGAUCGUCAGCUAAGGUCCCUAAAUGUAAGUUAAGUGGUAAAGGAUGUGGGAUUGCACAGACAACCAGGAUGUUGGCUUAGAAGCAGCCACUCAUUCAAAGAGUGCGUAAUAGCUCACUGGUCGAGUGAUCCUGCGCCGAAGAUUUCCGGGGCUAAAACUUACUACCGAAGCUACGGCAUCAGUAAUGAUGGGUAGGGGAGCUUCCCAUACGGGUUGAAGCAUGACCGUAAGGACAUGUGGACAGUAUGGGAGUGAGAAUGUUGGCAUGAGUAGCGAGAUGUGGGUGAGAAUCCCACAGGCCGUAAACCCAAGGUUUCCAGGGGAAGGUUCGUCCGCCCUGGGUUAGUCGGGACCUAAGCUGAGGCCGAAAGGCGUAGG